rnacentral:rRNA from 1 species
GAGAGGGAGCCUGAGAAACGGCUACCACAUCUAAGGAAGGCAGCAGGCGCGUAAAUUACCCAAUCCUGACUCAGGGAGGUAGUGACAAGAAAUAACGGACCGAGGCUUUCGGGCUUCGGGAUUGCAAUGAGCCGAAUUUACACCCCUUAGCGAGGAUCGAUUGGAGGGCAAGUCUGGUGCCAGCAGCCGCGGUAAUUCCAGCUCCAAUAGCGUAUAUUAAAGUUGUUGCAGUUAAAAAGCUCGUAGUUGGAUUUCUGGGAGGGUGCCAAUGUCCGCCAGAGGCGUGCGCAGCGGCGCCCUUCCAUCCUUCUGUUAACAUCUCUUGGCAUUCAUUUGCUGGUGAUGGGCUCAGAUAUUUUACCUUGAGAAAAUUAGAGUGUUUCAGGCAGGCUAGGCCGGAAUACAUUAGCAUGGAAUAAUGGAAUAGGACUACGGUCUCUUUGUUGGUUUGAGGGACUGCAGUAAUGAUUAAUAGGGAUAGUUGGGGGCAUUAGUAUUUAAUUGUCAGAGGUGGAAUUCUCGGAUUUGUUAAAGACUAACUUAUGCGAAAGCAUUUGCCAAGGAUGUUUUCAUUAAUCAAGAACGAAAGUUAGGGG